GAUGAAGAACGUAGUGAAAUGCGAUAAGUAAUGUGAAUUGCAGAAUUCAGUGAAUCAUCGAAUCUUUGAACGCACAUUGCGCCCCCUGGUAUUCCGGGGGGCAUGCCUGUCCGAGCGUCAUUACAACCCUCAAGCUCAGCUUGGUGUUGGGCCCCGCCGCCCCGGCGGGCCCUAAAGUCAGUGGCGGUGCCGUCCGGCUCCGAGCGUAGUAAUUCUUCUCGCUCUGGAGGUCCGGUCGUGUGAUCGCCAGCAACCCCCAAUUUUUUUCAGGUUGACCUCGGAUCAGGUAGGGAUACCCGCUGAACUUAAGCAUAUCAAUAAGCGGAGGA
rnacentral:misc_RNA from 1 species